CACGAUAUAAGAAUAGAUUUUAUUAUUAUUAAGAGAAUUUGGUUAGUACACAAAUGGCUUAACCUCCUCACAAUUUAGUAAAAUAUAAGUUUGAGCUGCCUUGCUCAUUUUUUUGCUUCUCCCCAAAGUCGACCUGGAUGGGAGAAUAUUGAAAGAUUUUCUUUAAGAUCUUCCAAAACACCACCAUUGUCAUUACGGUCCACAUUAUGAUUUUGGGACAUGACAUGAGGUUCAAAAUAAUGAGAAAAUAAUUAUGUUGACUCCAUCAUCAACUAAGCUUCACAAAUGGAACCUUCAACACUAACUUUAUUCCCAAUCACCCAUUUAAGAGUUCCCAAAUACCUAUAAAUAGAAAAUAAUAAAACACAUUACGUCUAAAAGUUAUGUAUUAAUUAUUUAUCACAAGUUUGACAUAAAGCUUCACAUUUUCCUUUCAAAAGGAUAAAUCCAUCGAUAUUGCACAGGUCCAGCAAUCCUUGCUUCAUAUGAAAGGUGCACAGGAAGAUAUUCCAUUGAGUCAAAGAACCCAGGAGGAAAUAUACGUUCUAACUUGCACAAAAUUAGUGGAAUAUCUCUCUCUAAUCAGACCAUAUAAUCCACUUGUUGAGUGGUAGAAGUAAGAUUCUUAAAAAAUAAGCUCAAUUCUGUAAGUGCCUGCCACACAUUACUAGUAAGUAGUUCAUGAAAAGCAAUAGACAUUAGUCUUUGCAUGAACACAUGACAAUCGUGACUCUUCAUACCAAAUAACCUUUUCGCAUUUGUGUCUGGCAACCUACCCAAAUUUGAAACAUACCCAUCUAGAAACUUUAAGCCUUUCACCCAAUUAAACAAGAUACCUCGUUCUUCCUUGUCUAAUGUAUAAAUAGCUUUUGGAUAUUGUCUAUUACUAUCCUUUCCCAAUUGUGGUCGAUCAUAAUACUUUGUCGUAUCUAGACGUGAUUGUGGAUUAUCUUUGGUUUUGUCAUCAAAAUUGAGUUAAAGACAUUAUCAAAGAAGUUUUUCUUAAUAUGCAUCACAUCAAGAUUAUGUCGAAUCAUGUUAGAACUCCAGUAUGGAAAAUCCUAAAAGAUGCUUCAUUUUUUCCACCCACAUGUCUUACAUAUUAUUUUAUUAACUUGUUCUGUAUCUGACUCUGUUAUAUUUAUUACCCCCAAAUUAAGAAUUUGGUCUAAUAUUUCCUCUCCUAUUCUAUAUGUUGGGGGUGGGGGGUCGUUUGAUAGUCCGCCCUUUAAGAAAGUUCUUUCGAUCUCUCCUAAAUGGGUGAUGCUGGUUAAGGAAUAUUUUGUCCCAAUCAAACCAUGAUUGUUUUUUUCCAUGCUACAAUCUAAAGGAUUCUAUUUCCUCCAUAGAAUAAGGACAUGCUAAUUUACCCGCAGUACUCCAUCCCAAUAACAUAGCAUAUGUUUGAAAGUCACUAAUUGUCCACAUCAAAGCUGCCCUUAAUUGAAAGUUUUGCCUUUAUGAGAUGUCAAAGGCUUCCAAACCUAUCUCCUACAACAAGGUCGAUUCCUUUAUAAGGGGUUGUAGAUAUACAUCAAUUUUAUGUUUGGGAUUGAUGGGACCUGGAACAAUGAUAGUUAAGAACAUAUAAGCCUCUUUCAUGCACAUUCCUGGAGGUAAAUUGUAUGGAGUGACAAUCACUGGCCACAAAGAAUA
rnacentral:lncRNA from 1 species